GCACCAGUUUAACUCAGUGGCUACUUCUCCUCACAGAUCAUUGCUAAUGCUUCUCCUGUCUGAACACGGCGAGGAGGUUCAAAUCCACGGGCACUGUCUGGUGUUUUU
rnacentral:vault_RNA from 1 species